CGCUACCUGCUAGCGCCGGACUCCGGGAGCGCGUCCCCCAGCGCCAGCGCUACCGGGCAGCGCCCCCUGCUGGCCACCGGCCGCUUCUCAGUGGGCUACCAAUGCUGCCUCCAGUUCCUGCUCCAAAUGAAUGUCUCUCCUGGAAACUGCUCAACUCCUAUUCCUCAGUCUUCUUGCUCCUCAUGUGCAACCUGCACAAGAUCCCUCCUUCUCAAUGACAAUCACAUGGGAUCUCAGAGUCUCCUGCUUGUUUAACAGAAGAGUAAAGAUGAAGGUUGGCUAGUCUCCCAGCGAGGGUUACAAAUGAAAAGGAAAUACUUGUAAUUGUACAUUUUCGCAAGGCCCAAGACACUGCCCAUGGACAGGAGGAGUGCCACAUCAUCCCUCACCUGUGACCAGGAGGUGCCCUUGAGAAGCCAAUCAUCCAGAGAGGGAAAUAUCUGGACCCCCCGCCAUCUGAGAGCUUUCCCGUCAAAUGGGAGAUCCUGCAUGGAAGACUGUGCCUCACUGGACAGCCCAGAGAGGAGGAGCCAUGAUGCCCGUCUCAUGGAUACAGCAGAGGCCAUUGAUCAUGCAGCCAUGUCCGCAGCACCCAAGGCUGCCUGCAGGUACGCCCUAGCAGCCACUACCCCUUCCUCCAUUUGCACCUUGAACUCCUUCCUAUUGUGCUCCUGGAGGGAGUCCUCAAACUAGGGCAGGGAGCCCCACAGAUUGAAUUCGUAC